rnacentral:tRNA from 1 species
GCGGAUGUGGUGGAAUGCAGGUAGACGCGCGAGCUUCAGGUGCUCGUGCCCGAAAGGGCGUGAGGGUUCGAGUCCCUCCGUCCGCA